AUGGCAUGUUGAGGACAAUCGUCGCAAAGUUUCUUGAAUCUCUCCCAAGCUAGGUAAAAAUUCUCAUCCUUGCGUUGUCGAAAACUUGCAAUCCUUUGUCUCCCCUU
rnacentral:snoRNA from 1 species